CUUUCACAGUGUAUAGCCUUGCAUCAUCUCACAUUUGCUCUGGGAAGUUUCCGGUGUGCAGUGGUGAGUGCAGAGACGCAAGCUGGUCCAGUGCGGAAAAAGAUGUCUUCUGAUGCUGUUAUGACUUGUUUCCUGGUAAUUCAGCUAUAGUAGUGUUGGCCGGGGUGCUCCAAGCAGAGACAGAGCUCACAGUAAACAGUAAACCUUAAGGAGACCUUGACUACACUGCAUAUAAGAAGAUCCAUUUGGAGUGACUCGCUGCUUUAUUUUGAGGUUCCAGAUGGGAGGAACGUUCUAAGCCUGCAAGGAAGAGACUGAAGGAUUGAAGGAAGAGAAUCAGCUGUGGCGGGCUCUUGGUAGUCCUUUUGCUGUCUAAGAAGCGUUUAGAACAGUUGGACAUGCUGGAAGCAAUAAUCUAAUUCUGCUUUUGGGAGGUAAAAGGAGCUUUUUUAAAAAAGUGCCUAAGUUGUUUGAGCUGCUGUGCUAAAAGUUCUUCAUGGGGCUGGUGAGAUGGCUCAGUGAGUAAGAGCACCCGACUGCUCUUCCGAAGGUCUGGAGUUCAAAUCCCAGCAACCACAUGGUGGCUCACAACCAUCCUAACGAGAUCUGACUCCCUCUUCUGGAGUGUCUGAAGACAGCUACAGUGUACUUACAUAUAAAUAAAU
rnacentral:lncRNA from 1 species